GACAGCAGCCGCCGCGGUAAUACGAAGGGUGCAAGCGUUACUCGGAAUUACUGGGCGUAAAGCGUGCGUAGGUGGUGGUUUAAGUCCGUUGUGAAAGCCCUGGGCUCAACCUGGGAAUUGCAGUGGAUACUGGGUCACUAGAGUGUGGUAGAGGAUAGUGGAAUUUCCGGUGUAGCAGUGAAAUGCGUAGAGAUCGGAAGGAACAUCUGUGGCGAAGGCGACUAUCUGGGCCAACACUGACACUGAGGCACGAAAGCGUGGGGAGCAAACAGGAUUAGAUACCCGCGUAGUCCCUGUCUCUUAUAC
rnacentral:rRNA from 1 species